GUGAGGAAUAUUGGUCAAUGGACGAGAGUCUGAACCAGCCAAGUAGCGUGAAGGAUGACUGCCCUAUGGGUUGUAAACUUCUUUUAUAUGGGAAUAAAGUGAGCCACGUGUGGCUUUUUGUAUGUACCAUACGAAUAAGGAUCGGCUAACUCCGUGCCAGCAGCCGCGGUAAUACGGAGGAUCCGAGCGUUAUCCGGAUUUAUUGGGUUUAAAGGGAGCGUAGGCGGACUAUUAAGUCAGCUGUGAAAGUUUGCGGCUCAACCGUAAAAUUGCAGUUGAUACUGGUCGUCUUGAGUGCAGUAGAGGUAGGCGGAAUUCGUGGUGUAGCGGUGAAAUGCUUAGAUAUCACGAAGAACUCCGAUUGCGAAGGCAGCUUACUGGACUGUAACUGACGCUGAUGCUCGAAAGUGUGGGUAUCAAACAGGAUUAGAAACCCUAGUAGUCC
rnacentral:rRNA from 1 species